CGUUAGCGGCGGACGGGUGAGUAACACUGGGUAACCUACCUAUAAGACUGGGACAACUUCGGGAAACCGGAGCUAAUACCGGAUAAGAUAUCGAACCGCAUGGUUCGAUAGUGAAAGANGGUUUUGCUAUCACUUAUAGAUGGACCCGCGCCGUAUUAGCUAGUUGGUGAGGUAACGGCUCACCAAGGCAACGAUACGUAGCCGACCUGAGAGGGUGAUCGGCCACACUGGAACUGAGACACGGUCCAGACUCCGUACGGGAGGCAGCAGGU
rnacentral:rRNA from 1 species